rnacentral:rRNA from 1 species
AGCCUACGGGAGGCAGCAGUGAGGAAUAUUGGUCAAUGGGCGAGAGCCUGAACCAGCCAAGUCGCGUGAAGGAUGAAGGAUCUAUGGUUUGUAAACUUCUUUUAUAUGGGAAUAAAGUGAGGAACGUGUUCCUUUUUGUAUGUACCAUAUGAAUAAGCAUCGGCUAACUCCGUGCCAGCAGCCGCGGUAAUACGGAGGAUGCGAGCGUUAUCCGGAUUUAUUGGGUUUAAAGGGUGCGUAGGCGGACUGGAAAGUCAGCGGUAAAAUCGAGAGGCUCAACCUCUUUCCGCCGUUGAAACUGUCGG